CCUACGGGAGGCAGCAGUAAGGAAUAUUGCUCAAUGGCCGAAAGGCUGAAGCAGCAACGCCGCGUGAAGGAUGAAGGCCUUUUGGUUGUAAACUUCUGUAGAGAGAGAAAAAAACUCCACUCUGUGGAGAUUGAUGGUAUCUCUAAAGUAAGCCCCGGCUAACUACGUGCCAGCAGCCGCGGUAAUACGUAGGGGGCAAACGUUGUCCGGAUUUACUGGGUGUAAAGGGUGCUCAGGUGGUUUUGUAAGUCAGAGGUGAAAUUUCGGGGCUCAACCCCGGAACUGCCUUUGAUACUGCAAAGCUUGUGUACGGAAGAGGUUGAUGGAAUUUCUGGUGUAGCAGUGAAAUGCGUAGAUAUCAGAAAGAACACCAGUGGCGAAGGCGGUCAACUGGUCCGGUACAGACACUAAAGCACGAAAGCAUGGGUAGCAAACAGGAUUAGAUACCCUGGUAGUCCAUGCCCUAAACGAUGAAUACUAGACGUUGGGUGUAAAAACUCAGUGUCGCAGCUACGACAUUAAGUUAUUACCUACCGUCGGGUAGGUACGAGUCGCGAAGGUUAGUAAACGUUAAAUUAAGUAAGUUAGUACGGCGUGAGACGUGCCGAACGGACGACGACGAGGGAGGUAGG
rnacentral:rRNA from 1 species